rnacentral:rRNA from 1 species
CAGUAACAAGGUUUCCGUAGGUGAACCUGCGGAAGGAUCAU